rnacentral:lncRNA from 1 species
CUCAAGGCAAGAAGACCCAGAGACAGCAAGACUGAAACAAAAAGCAAAGGAGGUGCCUGCUUCCUAGAAGUGGCAGCUGUGCCUGACUAAUUGAGUUGCAGUAAACCCAGUUGUCCAGAAACAGUGAGAAUGCUUCUCAGGGCAGGAGCAAAAGGCCAGCAUUAGGAGAAGACCUGUUCUGGGGACAGUUAGACCCUGCUGCCCCAGCUCUCACCACAUCCCCCGUGAGGAUGCAUCUGGAAGGAGGAGGUAUUCUCAAACUUGGGAACCAGCCUUGUAGCCUGACAAAAUUACCUGGGAUGGAGCUCAGGACGACUGGCCCUUGUCUUGCUCUGUGACUGUACAUGUCACUUCUCACUUGUCCAUUCAAAAAAAACUCUGGAGAACCUCCUGUCUGCUUGGGCUUCUAAAUCAUGGCACUGACACUUUAAAUUAGAAAAUAACAAAGAAGGAAUCUGCCAAAUAGAAGCAUGAAAGGCUUUGCAAAAGAAUUGACAUUUGAUAUGGAUUCUGACAGAAGAAAAGGAGUUGCCUGGGUGGCAUCAGUUCAUCUUCUAUAAGGUAA